rnacentral:rRNA from 1 species
GCAGUAGCCGCGGUAAUACAGAGGGUGCGAGCGUUAAUCGGAUUUACUGGGCGUAAAGCGUGCGUAGGCGGCUUUUUAAGUCGGAUGUGAAAUCCCUGAGCUUAACUUAGGAAUUGCAUUCGAUACUGGGAAGCUAGAGUAUGGGAGAGGAUGGUAGAAUUCCAGGUGUAGCGGUGAAAUGCGUAGAGAUCUGGAGGAAUACCGAUGGCGAAGGCAGCCAUCUGGCCUAAUACUGACGCUGAGGUACGAAAGCAUGGGGAGCAAACAGGAUUAGAUACCCCUGUAGUCCCUGUCUUUUAUAU